UACGGGGGGAGCAAGCGUUGUUCGGAUUUACUGGGCGUAAAGGGCGCGUAGGCGGUCAGUGCAAGUCAGUUGUGAAAUCUCCGGGCUUAACUCGGAAAGGUCAACUGAUACUGCUCGACUAGAGUGCGGAAGGGGCAACUGGAAUUCUUGGUGUAGCGGUGAAAUGCGUAGAUAUCAAGAGGAACACCGGUGGCGAAGGCGGGUCUCUGGGCCGAUAUUGACGCUGAGGAGCGAAAGCGUGGGGAGCGAACAGG
rnacentral:rRNA from 1 species